rnacentral:lncRNA from 1 species
UUCUGCUUUUCUCUCAUUUAUUUAUUUGUUAAUUCAAUCAUUUAUUUAUAUCAGUAUGGGCUCAUGGAUAUAUAUGCUAUACUUUUAGUUAUGUUUCAAUGCUACAUCAUUUAUUUGGUUGCUCAAAUUUUUCCAGCUUUGGACCUGGGAGCCCACUCAAUGGACUCCUGCUCCCUGUGACAUACGCACUCAUCACUGUGUGUGUUUCUCGGCACUUCCUUACUUACAGGUACUAAGAGAUGCUCCAGGCCCUUCUUGCAUAUUUCCUGUUCCAGCCUUAGAAUCAGCCAUAUUUCCAAGGAGCUGCAGUUUCUUUUAUUAGAGAAUGGUGUGAGGAACCAAGAUCUGGGCAUUGAAUGUGUAAGCUGGGUUUUAAAGGACAGUGGACAAUAGAAAGGAACAGGAAUGGCAUUUGGAGUAGAAAGCUUGGCAUAAGCAAGUAUCCUGAGAAUGAAGAAAAUGAAUUCUAUGUGGGGAAGAGCAUAUACCUAGAUGGAAGCAUUUACACUGGUGAAAUAAAUCUUUCAGGCUUUAGGUCCAGACUGAAGUGUAAUAUUAUCCCAUCCCCCAACCCAUUUAUUCAUCACCUUUCUUCACAAUAGCUUCACCUUUUACCCAUUAGCUAAUGCAAAAGUCCUGGGAGCUAUUCUUUACUUCACUCUCCCUUUCCACUCAUAUGCAAUCAGUGAAAAAUAUUUCUUGAUUCUGCCUCCCAAUAAUUUUUAAACCUGUCUUCCACUGUCCAGAGCCACAUCUCCUGGCCAGGUACCUUCAAUGGUGGGUAAACCAGUUCCAACAUCCCUGGCAGCGUCUUCUCCCUGCAGCAGCCUUGCCACCUCUGGUGGUAUUCUCUACCAUGAUCAAGGCCAUUGGGCUUCCCAUUGAGUUUAAGGUGAAGCCUUCUGAGGCUGAUGGGCUGGGUGUGAUCUUUUCCUCACCAACCUGUCUACCUGACUCUCUGUUUUUGUAACCUGAGAUCCCACAGCAAGAUCUUCCAUCACUCCUCAAUCAAGCAUUGCAGUGGGACCUUUGGAGGAUGUGGCCUUUGUCCAGAUGCUUUUGCCUUAUCUGGCCUGGCUACCUGGUAUGACUAACUUCUUUCCAUUUUUGUUUUGCUGUCACUGCCUUGGGAAGACUUGUUUGCUCCAUGGUCAAGUAUGAUCCUCAAUACAGAUUCUCACACCAUACUAGGAGAAAAUGGGCCCAUAUUUUCAAUUUGUUGAUUCUAUUUAAAAUUUAUUCAGUAAAUACUUGCUCAGCAUUUAACUGUAUACUAAGAGGGUGUUCAAGGCGCUAGGCAUAGAGCAAUGAAAUGACAGAGUAAGAACCCCCUCCUCUUGGAGCUUAUAGUCCGAUGAGGAAGGCAGAAAACGUGUUGAGCAUUCAUCUGAAAAUCCAAAAUCUCAAAGGCUCCAAAAUCAAGCUUUUUGAGUGCCAGUGUCGCAGGUAGAAAACUCCACACAGAAUUACUUAACACAAACUUUGUUUUACACACAAAAUAUUAAACAUAUUUUAAUAUGAAGAUAUAUAUGAAACAAAUGAACUUUGUGUUUAGACUUAAGUUCCUUUCCCAAAAUGUCUCAUUUAUGUGUAUGCAAAUAUUCCUAAAUCUGAAAUCGCAAGCGCUUCUGGUCCGAGGCAGUUUGGAUAAGGGAUACGCAACAUGUAGCAAAUACAUAAAUAUGAUAUUUAGUAUAUCUGGAGCUGAUAAAUACUGUGGAGGAAAAAGGCAGGGGAGGCCAACAGGUGUGCAUGGAGUUGGGGGAGUCUUACAUUUACGUGGGUUGAUCAGAGAAAGCUUCAUUCAGAAGGUCGAUGCAUAAGCAAAGACUUGAAGGAGGGGAAGGAAGAACCCAUGCAGGUAGGAGGGGAAGAGCAUUCCAGGCAGAGGCCUGAGGGAGAGGUCGUGCCUGAUGAGCUCCAGAACAGCCAAGAAAUUUGAGUUUGAUAUGCCUGUGAAGCACAGAGGUCUAGAUAUCCAGUAGACAAUUUAUGCAUGACCUUGAGUUUAGGGUUGGAAACUUCAGGCUGGAAAUUGGGAGUUGUCACCUACAGAUGGCAUCUGAAGACAGGAGACUAGAGGAAGUCUCAGGAGGCUAAAUGUUCAGUGGCUGAGCUCUGGGACACCUGAGUUCUUUAGACUCAGAAGAUGAUAGUGGACCAGCAAAGGCACUGAAGAAUAGCUCGGAGGAAAACCAGGUAGGUCUGGUGUCCUGGAAACCACAGGAAGAAUGAGGAAGUGACCCACUACUAUUAAUUAGUACCAUCAUGUACAUGGGCACAUGUAUUUACAAUGUGCCCAUCACUGUUCUGAGUCUUGUAUGUAUAUUAACUCGUUACAUCCUCAUAAUCCCUAUGAGGUAUUUUGUUUUAUUAUCUCUGCUUUGCAAAUGGGAAGUCAGGCCCAGAGGUAAAUAAACUUGUCCAGUCACAUAGCUCACAAGCACUGGAGCUGGGGUUUGAAUCUGGACCAUCUAGUCUCAGGGUCAUUGGUCUUCAGCACCACAUCAUGUGUGCCCAAACACUGCAGGUGCAGGUGGAAAAGCUCAGCGCUGAGACGAAGCACUGUGGAUAUCUUCGGUGAGCUUAAAAGAGAAGCUUGGAGUGAGUCCUGGAGGAGAUAGAAUGAUUAGGGGCAGUCGAUGAGGCACGGGAGGAGAGAUGGUGAAGAUAGCAGCCAGAGACAACUCUCAUGAAUAGCUUGGCUGUGAAGGGGAGUGAGAAACGUUAGGAAGACUACAGGGAGAUGUGCAAUCAAAGAGGAAUUUUAGGAAGAAUGUUAGAAAUUAUGGUAUGUUUGUAGAUGGGUGGGACUGAAAGGGUAAAAAGGAAAAGAAUAAUGACCUAGGAGGAGAGAAGGUGAACCUUGCAUUUGUAACUGUGAUCUAGAGAAGAGAGAAUGUGAACCCUGCAUUUGUAACUGAAAAAUUAUUUGCUGAGCUGCUUAAUGUCAGUGAUCUCUGCCAAAGUAUAAACUGCUAGGGUUGGGGGAUUUUAGAUUUCCAGGUGCUGCUGUGGCUCCAUGUGCUCCACGUCCUUGCCUGGUGAAUGGGGGAAGGAAUCAUGCCACUGAUGAAGGUCAAAGCAGGGCUCCUGGUGCCCUGAACCUCCAUACCUUCCUGCCCCACCGCUGCCUGCAGACCCAGCUUUCUGCUCGCAGCCUGGGCAUGCCUUCUGCCUGUAUCCUCCCAUGAAGGCCAACUCCAAACCCACCAGGCAUUGCUGAGGAGUAAGUGGGAGGGAGAAGUCACAUGGCACAGGAUGCCGUGAAACUGCCCCAGAGCCCUUGGAAGUCUCCCCGGACAGCCACUUCACGCCUUUCCCUGGUUCCCAAACCUCAGUCCUGCCAGCUGCCUGGGCUCUACCUCUAUGCCACUGCUCCACAGGCUGCUUGGCUCUAUUCUCACUGCCCUUUGUUUCCCAGCCUUGGGUCAGGGACAGACCUCCAUCCAUUUCAUGGGAAGACUCCCUAAGGCCCAGAACUUCUCCAUCUCAGAGGGAUGAAUGGUGGUCAGCAGAGAUGCUUUCAGGAGUGAGGGAUCAGAGGCUCUGGGAAAUGCCUCACCAUUUCACAGAAGCCCUUUUCCUUCUGCCAACCCCCCAGGGGCAUUUAUAAAAUUCCAGAGUGAGAUUGAGAAGCUGAACUAACUCACCUGCAGGGCUGGGUCUCCCCCACCAGGCAGCCACAAUAGCCUGCAAGGCAUCUGCUGAGUGUGGGAGAAAUGCUGCUUUUCAACGUAGGUAUGAGGGCAGAACUCAUGCGUGUUUGUCAAAAAGGCCUCCCACAGUUUUUGAGGCAUCACACAUACACCUACUCACACUCCCCCAUGGAGGCAUGCUCUCCUCUCUCACACACGCACAUGCACGCAGGGACUCACACAUAUCACUCAUCAUGCCUCUCUCCCCUCCCCACACCGAGCUACCCUGCCGGCAGCACAGAGUGAACAGCGCCGUGCACCCAUCUGGGCCUGACCUGCCUACAUUGUUAGCCUAAAAUACUUGUGAGUAUAUAUACAGCAUGGUAAGGAACUAAUUUUUGAAGCCAGUGUGGGGGCUCCAGGGCACUCCGCCAUUUCCUCUUUUCCCUAAAGCUGUUAAACUAAAUUAUAGGGCUGGGAGAAUGAGAGGCCAGCUGUGCUUCAGCUGCAGGCCCCAGUUGUUGUGACAAAGUGAAAAGUGUGGGUACCAACAGAUCAUUAACUGUGCAGCCAAAAAUAGGCUGAUGAUUGGAUCUCACGCUCUGCUCUGAGGAGACCGUGGACCCAACUCUGGCAGGUGCUGGUUCUAGCCCAGGAUGGCACUGACUCUCACAGCCAAAGGGGCAUUGACAAUUGCCCCUAACACACCACCUCACGUUCUUCUUACUUCAUUACAUAAGGGCAAGUUUUAUUUUUUUAUAAACUGUUCUUAAAAUUGACAGGGGUUUUUGUCUCUGUUUUGGUUUUGUUUUUAAAAUUUCCCCACAAUUUCCUGUUGCCUUGCCUCUUUGGCUGAGUUCGACUUUCCUGUUGACUAUAAUUACUGCGAGUCUGGUGAAGAGUUGAAAAAUCUAAGUUGACAUUAAAGGUGCAUUACACUUGAAUAAACCCAGAGACAGAAUAUCACACGUUGGUUUGGAGUUGCCCCUGUGUUUUGUCUAGAUUAACAAAUUUAGACGGCUUUUGAUUUGCAUAGCAUUAAUAACUGCUGGGGCAAUCUCUGGAACUUGUAAACACUGCUCAUAAAUAGUCGCUAAAGUGUGAGGUUGAAUAAACAUUACCUCGAUGGUUUGUGAAGGACUGGCCAGCAUGAAACCAAAUUGUGCUUUGAAAUAAGACCUUUGUCAUUGGGAAGGAGUGGAGAGAAAACAGGACUGGGACACUAAACAGUAGCUACUUCAAUUUCUUGACUGCUUAGCAAUCCACAAGUGACCAGAAACGGUUGACAUCAUCUGUGGUGCCUCAGUUUCUCUCUCAUUAUUUGUAAACUGGCAAUCAUAGUCUAGAAGACUGAUGUUUUAUGCAGUCACUUAUUCAUUCCAUGUUGGAAGAAGAACUGAGAAUAUUUUUUUGGCUGCAGCCUUGUCACGUGAACGUACAAAUUUUGACCUUGAAGAAUCCAUAGACACCUUCCAGUUCUGCGUCAUUUUACACAGGGGGCAUCCCAGGCCCAGGGAGCUGCAUGGAGCUGGUUAGGCUCUCUGCUGCAGACCAAGCAGAGGCAUCAUUUCUCAAGGCUUCUGUCAUCUGUGGCUAUCAGCUUUGCUAUCAUGACUCACAUUUGCAACCUGGCCUAUUUUCCGGGCAAAUGUGGACUGGCCUGGACUUGGCAGAGGCUCGUAGAGGAGAUGUUUGCAAAUGAAGAUGCAUAAAAAGUUUAAAGCUUAAUGGAAAUUCAAAAUUUAAACUUACUUAGGAGAAAGGGUUUUAAUCAUACAACUUAGAAUAUUCUUCUUUCCACGCUUUCUGAGAUGUUGCUAAGUAAAGGAAAGCUAAUAGCCAGAGAAGAUGUAGGGAAGUGUUCCUGACCAGGCACUGGGGGCCCUGUCUUGUUCCUAACUAACUGUACUGGUCAUGAUAAUGUUUGCUGAGCAUUUACUAUGUGCUAGGAUUUUAGGUAAUGUGGUUAACCAUACAGUAUCUCAUUUAGACCUCACAAGGAAUCUUUGAGGUAAGUGCUGUUAUUGUCACUAUUUUAUAUUUUUAAAAAGUUCAAAGGAGGCUAACAUUCGCCCAAGGCCACAUGACUGGUAGUGCAACCAGGAUUUUAACCCUGAGAUUCUGGCAACCCGUGCUGCCUGUGCUUAUCUCUGUUUUGAUUCUGUCACUGAGAUGCCGGGCCUUUCAAGGUACCGUGCAGAUGCUUGGGCUGCCCAGCGCUGGUGAUUUCUUGUUGGGGAACACUCCGAUGAUUAACUGAAUGUCUUCGCUUCUUGUUCGUGUGAAGCACACAUGUGUUUGGGCACCGCGUGUGGAGGCUGUGGAAGGCUCCCAGAUGAGGGCACGUGGCACUCAGGGUUUGCCCACUUACCAUUUGAGCCAUCGACAGGCACGAGGAUGGGAAGUUGGGCCUCGGUGAAACGCCCUGGCUGGAAAUGCCUGGUCUGCUAAGCGGGGAAUACUCUGGGUUGAAGCACUUGUUUUGAUGACGUGUUUCACUGGUUGCAUCAUCAUUUAAAUAAUGACCAGUCUCAGGGCUUAUUUCUCAACAGAAUUCUAGUUUUCAGGUCUGUAACGAUGGGCAGAUUUUCCAUGACACGACUAAAGUCCAACGCCAGUGCCACUUCUCCCAUGAUGCUUCCCGUUCUCUCUUGUGCCCACCGAGGCCCUGUGGCUUUUCCUUGAAACUUCCCCGUGGCCCUCAUCGCGUGCCUCAUCUUGUGUCACAGUUAUCUGCGCAGCAGAGAAAAAGGAGCACAGACCUCACAGACAGACAGAUUGGGCUCAACAUGCACCUGGGCCUUGAGGAGAAUCUGCCUGUGCAGGGAGGCUCACAUGCUGACCGCGAGCAGACGGAACAAUCCUCGUUUGUUCAUGGAGAAACAAGACCACGGGUGACUCUGGGUAACUGAGACCUCAGGAAGUGAAACCUCAGAUAAAGGUGUAAUUUUUCUGAGCUGUUAAAAAUAUAACUGGGAAGAUAAACAGAAACUCCAAGAAUAUCUUAUCUGCGUUGAUCCACCAGUGUGUGUCUGUGACGGAGGCCUGAAUUGUAUGCUGCCAUGUGGGUGGCCAGAGAGAAGAAUAUUCGAUAGCAUGACUCUAAGGCUGGAUGGCUCUUUCCCAACUGGACACGGUUUGAGAUUUUUUUGUCUCCUUUUUCUUCAUGCGAGAUGAUAAACACUUAAUAAGAAGAUGGAACUUAUGGAAAGUAGCCAGAAGAAAAUAGCAUUCUACCGAUGGAAUUCCACUUCAGAUGCUGUGCUGGAAAGAAAUCCUCAUCCUGGGCUCCUUUUGCCUUUUGAUGAUGGCUUUAAAAACUGUGAAAACAGCGAAAGCCAAGUGUGUGGUCUUCAGCAAUUUCGUAAUAGUCUGUGCAGGAGACAGAGGGGGCGGUGGUUUGCUGGAAAAAAUGAUUAACUUUUUCUUUACGAUGACAGAAAACAGUUGCAAUUCAAAAAUGCCGAGGUUUCUGCAGCCCUCCCUUUUGGCAAAUUGUUAGGUAAUCACUUCUUCCAGGUGGCACUUUCAAUAAAGACCUUGGAAAGUCACGCCCCUUCCAGAGAUGUCCUCAGGGCAGAGCCAUUGUCAACUGGGAGAAACUUGUAGAAUGAGUGAGGGCAGGGUUAGAGGAAAGGCUCUAAAUUUUUCUUGUUGGGGGUAGCGGGGUAGAUUUGCUGUUGAUUUCCCAGAGUGGGUUCCCAUGCCUCAGUCUUGGUCUAAUGCGCGUUACAGUCUGCCUCUCAGCUUCUCCAGCAGAACCAAGGGAACCCUCCUCACAUCCUAUGAUUAUAUUUGUUAUUAUUUACUUUAAGUUAUCCCAGGAAGCAGCAGGCCCACCCUAAUUGAGAGGUCUGUCCACAUACAAGUCAGCUUAGUAAAACAGGUUCUAAUUAAGUAAUUACCUUGAUUAAAAUAUACCAACCAUUUUUACUUUUUAAUAAACAUUUCCCAAGACUGGAUUUUAUCCUGUUAUUUUGGUAGAAAUUUGUUUAACCUGGUGUGGAACUGGAACCCAGAGCUAACACUGUCCACCUGUGGAUAUGUGUGGUUUCCCUUAUUUGUAACAUGGAGUAGAAACAUAGCAGAUGCUCUGCAAGGUGCAGGAAAAGCCAGGUGCAUCUAUCAGGUCAAUUCAAAGUUCCUUUUUGAGUACAGUGCUGGACUUAGGUCAUGUAGAGGCAUAAAAGCCAAUUUAACUGUGCACAGUCCAGUAAGGGACAGACAUUUGCAAAAGUAUAUCAAUACAUGAUGCAAAUGUUAAGCUAGAGUUACGCACAGGUGCUCUAGAUAAUUGUGACAUUUGAAGGCAUGUAUUUUGACUACAUUGGUCAUUCCUGUGGUAAACUGACAAGGAUUGAGCCCUGCUGAGGUACAUGGUCCUUGCAGACACUUGAGUCCUGGAUAGUAUGCAAGUAGAUAAAAGAGAAUCCCUGUGACUCUACCCCAGUGACUCUACCCCAAGUCGUCAAGAUGUGGGCAUCACCUGACUCCAUCUGGUCAGCCUCCUAGCAGAGGAGGCCCUUUUCUGUUGCUGAAUUUACAACUGCUUCAUGCCCAUUGGCUCCUUGGAAAUUCAAUCCCAAUUCAUCUAAAACUCCUCAGGGUCAAAAUAGUUCCUGAAAAUGAAUUUUGCUGAAGCUUGCUUUUGGGUGCCUGUGACUUCAAAUCCUUAUCCUCUGCAUCUUCAAGAUUCUGGUCUGGUUACUUAGGCAAAUUUCUCAGUAGCUCUGGAAAAUUCGCAACGAUUUAAACCAUUUUUUUUCUUUAGCCUCUCUGGGACCUAUGACUCUUUGCAUGUUGAGGUUUUGAAUUCCUUUGCAUGACAAAUUCUCUGGUGGUUACAACAGAGAAGAAGGAAGAGAGGUGAUCAGGGUCUCAUGAGGAAAACCAUACCUAGAUAGUUUGCUCAAAGAGAGUGCUGUUAAUUCAAAGAGGCUGGUCUUCCUGAGAGAUUCCUUAACCCAAGGCAAUUCAAAAGUUGGUGUUUGAGUGUGCGAGAGAGGCCCCAUGUUAUGAAGGCAUGUCAGAAAAAUGAUUAUGGCUGGGUAUUAACUUGAGAUCUAGGCUGUGAAAGAACAGUAGGUUUUUUUUUUUUUUUUC